UACGGAGGAUGCGAGCGUUAUCCGGAUUUAUUGGGUUUAAAGGGUGCGUAGGCGGCGAGUUAAGUCAGCGGUAAAAGCCCGGGGCUCAACCCCGGCCCGCCGUUGAAACUGACGGUCUUGAGUGGGCGAGAAGUAUGCGGAAUGCGUGGUGUAGCGGUGAAAUGCAUAGAUAUCACGCAGAACUCCGAUUGCGAAGGCAGCAUACCGGCUCCACACUGACGCUGAGGCACGAAAGCGUGGGUAUCGAA
rnacentral:rRNA from 1 species